CCCACUAAAAGACCCAGACUGGCUCACUUUGGUCACAUGCCCGUCCCUGGAUCAAACUGUGACCUGUGGAGUGGCAUAUUCUAACUGAUCAGGUUGGACAACCAGAUGGAACUGAACUUUCUGGAAAAGCUCCUUAAGAGGGAUUUUCUCAUCUGGAAAAGACAUCCUUGGUGCUUCUUGCAACUUGUACCUAAUGUUAGGAGUUCCAGUAACCAUCUUGUGUCCUUGAAGUUGGAAACUAUGGUAACCAGAGAGAUAGAAUGCCUUCAAGUCCUUAAAGUGUUUGUGGAACUGCCACAGCGGCCCUGGACUGGCUGCCUCUGUACAUCCGGUACAUGUGAUACACAACUGAUAUUUAAGGAACUGAAAGCUUUACCAAUUUACUGCUUUAUUACUUUCUGAAUGCAAUUCCCAGGUUAUAAAUUUGUUCUCUUUGUGUAUCUGAAAUUCUGUUUUGUUUUUACAUACUUCUCUCCUUUUUUUCAAUAUUCAAAUCAUCUCUCCACACUAACAUCAAUAAAACUAAUUACUGUG